rnacentral:rRNA from 1 species
GACGAACGCUGGCGGCGUGCUUAACACAUGCAAGUCGAACGGAAAGGCCCUGCUUUUGUGGGUUGCUCGAUUGGCGAACGGGUGAGUAACACGUGAGUAACCUGCCCUUGACUUUGUGAUAACUUCAGGAAACUGGGGCUAAUACCGGAUAUGAGCUCCUGCUGCAUGGUGGGGGUUGGAAAGUUUCGGCGGUUGGGGAUGGACUCGCGGCUUAUCAGCUUGUUGGUGUGGUAGUGGCUUACCAAGGCUUUGACGGGUAGCCGGCCUGAGAGGGUGACCGGCGACAUUGGGACUGAGAUACGGCGCAGACUCCUACGGGAGGCAGCAGUGGGGAAUAUUGCAGAAUGGGCGGAAGCGUGAUGCAGCAACGCCGCGUGCGGGAUGACGGCCUUCGGGUUGUAAACCGAUUUCGACUGUGACGAAGCGUGAGUGACGGUAAUGGGUAAAGAAGCACCGGCUAACUACGUG